GGAGCCGGCCAGGCAAUCGCUUCGCUCCGGACCUGGUCCGGUGCGGAGAGGAAAGUCCGGGCUCCAUAGGGCAGGGCGCCAGGUAACCCCUGGGGGGCGUGAGCCUACGGAAAGUGCAACAGAAAAGAUACCGCCCCGUUUUCGGGGUAAGGGUGAAAUGGUGCGGUAAGAGCGCACCGCGCAGGUGGCAACAUUCUGCGGCUAGGUAAACCCCGCCUGGAGCAAGACCAAAUAGGAAAGCGAUGCCGUGGCCCGCGGCGCUUUCGGGUAGGUCGCAAGAGGCCGCCGGUGACGGCGGUCCCAGAUGAAUGAUUGCCCACGACAGAACCCGGCUUAUCGGCCGGCUCCCACU
rnacentral:RNase_P_RNA from 1 species